CGAUAGGGGGUGAUCUGUCUGCCCUUCACUGUUUUCUCCAAAUAGAUCAAAACCUAAAAAGGUGGGAAUGAAAGAAGCUCCUAACCCUCUUGGCUUUUUUCCCAAAGCCAGGAGGCAGCUCCUGAAUGGUGGAUUUUGGACUACAGGUGAAGCUCCCAGCAAAGGGCCUGGCCCAGAGAAAUGCUCAAGAGUAGGAUGAAAAGACCGUGGGCUUCUUCCUUUGCAAAAGGAAACGUUUGGGACUGAUGGACACUGAAAAGUCUAGAUCUUCAUAAUCCUCAACAGCUUCACUGCCACUGCACUCACAAAAUGAGUGUGCCCUAUAUUUCCAGCCCUGUGAUGAGUAUGAAAAGAGCCUGAAGAACUCAUCUUCCUAGUCGCAAAGUACUUUAAAAUAUAUAAUCCCUCAAUCUUAAACAUAUAUAUACAUUUUAUUGCUUUUUAUUAUACAAUAAUACAUAUUUACUAUUGAAAAUACAGAUAAAAAAAGAAAAUGGUUCAUAAUAAUACUACCCAGGUUUAAAAAAUACUAUUCAGCCUUAUGUUGAAG
rnacentral:lncRNA from 1 species